UACGAAGGGGGCUAGCGUUGCUCGGCCUCACUGGGCGUAAAGCGCACGUGGGCGGCUUCUUAAGUCAGGGGUGAAAUCCUGGGGCUCAACCCCAGAACUGCCCUUGAUACUGAGGAGCUUGAGUCCGGGAGAGGUGAGUGGAACUCCGAGUGUAGAGGUGAAAUUCGUAGAUAUUCGGAAGAACACCAGUGGCGAAGGCGGCUCUCUGGCCCGGUACUGACGCUGAGGUGCGAAAGCGUGGGGAGCAAACAGG
rnacentral:rRNA from 1 species